rnacentral:rRNA from 1 species
UCAGGAUGAACGCUAGCGGCAGGCUUAACACAUGCAAGUCGAGGGGUAUAGUUCUUCGGAAUUAGAGACCGGCGCACGGUGCGUAACGCGUAUGCAAUCUACCUUUCACAGAGGGAUAGCCCAGAGAAAUUUGGAUUAAUACCUCAUAGUAUAGCAGUUUCGCAUGAAACCACUAUUAAAGUCACAACGGUGAAAGAUGAGCAUGCGUCCCAUUAGCUAGUUGGUAAGGUAACGGCUUACCAAGGCAACGAUGGGUAGGGGUCCUGAGAGGGGGAUCCCCCACACUGGUACUGAGACACGGACCAGACUCCUACGGGAGGCAGCAGUGAGGAAUAUUGGACAAUGGGCGCAAGCCUGAUCCAGCCAUGCCGCGUGCAGGAUGACGGUCCUAUGGAUUGUAAACUGCUUUUAUACAGGAAGAAACACUACUUCGUGAAGUAGCUUGACGGUACUGUAAGAAUAAGGAUCGGCUAACUCCGUG